rnacentral:rRNA from 1 species
UACGGAGGGUGCAAGCGUUAAUCGGAAUUACUGGGCGUAAAGCGCGCGUAGGCGGUUUGGUCAGUCAGAUGUGAAAGCCCUGGGCUCAACCUGGGAACUGCAUUUGAUACUGCCAAACUAGAGUGUGGGAGAGGUAAGUGGAAUUCCGGGUGUAGCGGUGAAAUGCGUAGAUAUAGGAAGGAAUACCAGUGGCGAAGGCGGCCACCUGGCUUGAUACUGACGCUGAGGUGCGAAAGCGUGGGGAGCGAACAGGAUUAGAUACCCCGGUAGUCC